UACGAAGGGGGCUAGCGUUGUUCGGAAUUACUGGGCGUAAAGCGCACGUAGGCGGAUUUGUAAGUCAGGGGUGAAAUCCCGGGGCUCAACCUCGGAACUGCCUUUGAUACUGCAAAUCUCGAGUCCGGAAGAGGUGAGUGGAAUUCCUAGUGUAGAGGUGAAAUUCGUAGAUAUUAGGAAGAACACCGGUGGCGAAGGCGGCUCUCUGGACCGAUACUGACGCUGAGGCGCGAAAGCGUGGGGAGCAAACAGG
rnacentral:rRNA from 1 species